ensembl:lncRNA
AUGUACACCUGCAGGGUGAACCAUUGUAACGGAAACAUAGCCCUGAACAUGUCCAAACCAGAGAUUCUUGAAGAAAGUGUGUUAUUUGACGAGAACAAACAGGUUUUCGUCCAAGACAUGGGGGAGGACAACUGGAUGAUGACCAUUACCUUCCUCCUCCUGUUCUUCGUCUCCCUUUUCUAUGGCAUCUUGGUCACGGUUAUAAAGGUGAGCGAAACAGUUGUUGCUUACACAGAAAUUUGCUACUGCUUAUAGAGAUGGUUUUAAAAAUGUACCUAAAAUACUUGAAACAUGGGGGAACUAAAUCUGCAUUAUUUGCGAUCUUUCAGACAAAGUGAGAAGGACCUCAAGAAACAUCUAGUGGAUCCUGUAAUGUGAAGCAGAGGAUGCAAAGGAAGCAACUAUUUCCAUUACAGCAAUGAAUUAUAACUGAUGUAUGAUGAUAAUGUUAUGUGACUAGCCAUAAAGAAUAUUAUAAUAAAAAAUAUAGAAUAAAAUAAAAAUGAUAUCAAUGGUACCUGGAAAAUUCUAAACAUUGUAUUAGGAUAUAAACCAUAAAGUGGAGUCAAGGGAGCCUAUACAGUAUACAGCCUGGUUUGGUUUAUUGAGUAAAGAUUAUGGAAUGUUAAUGAUUUAAUAGUUGACUGAUUUCUGGUAAUUUACAUUACCAGAAAAUGUAAAGAUUCCUUGUACAUAAGAAAGUGAUACUUCUUACCUAUGUGUUGUCCCGCAACCCUGGCCAAACACACAUUCGGCCUUCGACUCUUUGUACCUUCCCCUUAAUAGAAUAGAAAGAAAUGUAUUGUUAUCCUAAAGAAUACAACAAAAGUAGGAACUAAUUAAAUUAUUAAUUAAACUACCAAAACAAAGAAAACUGACAACAAACUCAAAACAAAAAGACUGAACUACCAGGUCUCUCUUAUCAACCCUUUAAUACAUAGAACAAUAUAAUUAAAAAAAUCCUACCGUACCCUAGACAUAACCAUGGCAUUUUAUAGAUAUGCUGGAAGACUGACAAACAAUUUGAAGUAGGUCCUUAAGAAUAAACGUGAUUCACCGGUGUUCCGGUGUCCCAUAUCUCUGUCUAUAGUUCUGUGCUAAUUAGCCAAUGACAAACUUGAGUUAUUCAAGAUGCUGAAUGGCACCUUGUCAUUAUCCCUGUUAUUAUCCCUGACUCUUUGAGUUAUCCCUGUCUCUUUGAGUCUCCUGUAAGUCAAAUAUUUGACAUACAGCUGUAGACAUGGUGUACAUUCAAAUGUUUGUAGUUGUUAGGGUUGAGGGUGCAGGCAGGUAGGACCCAGACGCAGACGGUUUAGGGAGAACAGCACUUUAUUUAUGCCUAAAGGCUAAGGCAAGGAACCAGGGAACUCAGGUGACAACAGGGAACAGGGAACACACAGGACGAACAACCACAAUGAUAGCACAAGGAACAAAGGAAAGACAAGGGCUUAAGUAACAAACACAACGAGGAACAGCUGAGACACAUUAGGGGAGGGAUUAGUAAUCAACCCAGGAGGGAAACACAGGGAAACACACCAAAACACGACAGACAAUGAAAGUAGUAUUGUGAAUGUCCUGACCUUUCUCCAUCAACCUGGACAGAUUAAUUCGUUGGUUGAUUAAAAAUAGAUUUGAUUUUGACACUGUAUGCAACCGAGUAAGAGUGAAUCAUAGAGUAUCAUACACAAAAUAAAUUUUUUUUUGUUUAUCUAUACCUUGUUUGUUAUACUCUUAGGAAAGAUAACAGUCCAACCUCUAAUAUUUAAUAUUUGUAUCAAAACAUCCAGGAAAUAAUAUUGGUAUAUGAUGUCAAAUUAUUUGAACGCAAAUUAAAAAAGCUAAACUAAACAAAUUAACUGGUAAAUUGGAUGUUUAAGAAGUAGUGUCAACAUAGGUUCCGAAGUACUGUUCUGAUUAACACCACGUUAUGCUCAAGCAUUCAUAGAGUAUGAGCUUACCAUGAUCAAUGCAUGCAUGAUCAUGCAAGACUCAAGUGACUUAGAAUGGUAACAAAUACAUACUGCCCAUAAGCCGCAUAUCUGCCGAAUGCCAUAUCCAAUAUGAGUCAGUGAAUCAGUUUUCAACACCAUUUAAAAUGUGUGACAUGAAAAUGAAACAUAUGGCGUAUUACUAUUGUGAUGAGAUUGGGGGGGGGGGGGGGGGGGGGGAUUUUAGUUGAUUUUAGUCCAAAAAUCUGCAAAAACAAUAAUCUGAUAACGAAGAUUCACAUGGAUGAAAUUCCUGUAACUGAUUCCAAGAAUCCCAACCGAAGUUAUUUAGGGGCAAUUUAAAAUUUUACCUCGUCUGAAUGGAACCUGUGAUAGAUGUUCCAUUAAGGCUAUUGUUCUUUUCUACACGAAAAGCAGGCUGACAUAAUACUUCUACUGGUAUAGGCUGAUCAGAUCAGUUUUACUUUUUUUUUUUUGGGGGCAGAUUAAUCUUCUCCAGUACCUUGGAGCAUCAUGUGUUUGAGAAUGGCCUGUAUCUUAGUUCUAUGCUAACACUACCCGUCCUAUACUCUUAGAAUAGAUGUUAUUUUGAAACUUAUGUUUGAGAAAAACUAAAUAGCGAAUGUUGUUACAUUAACCCAGUUGUUGACAGUCACAUUUCUUCAAGAAAGGCAAAGAAGAAGAAGAAGGGGGCGUUCCAGUCUGUGACAACGGGAACCCCUACCAGCACGGGAACGCCCAUUUCAGUCUGCAGCUGGAUGAUAUGGCAAAAAUGAGUGGCCUAUACUUAAAUUAUUUACUUUAAAACAAAUUGACUCUGUGUCCUUAGGUCUCUUAAUGCACAAAAAAUGGAAAAGGUAGGAAAAAUAGUUCAUUUUAGUGUGGUGUGGGCCGGUUAGUGCAAGUUUAGCUCCUAUAAAUUAAUGGUAGUUGAAUAGCUGAAUAAUUAAGUGCACCACCAGCUGUGUUUACUAUGUCACAACAGCAUUGGGAGAUGGUGAUAUAAUCAUCAUAUCAAAUAAUAUGCCAUAGGCCUAUGCAACAAUGACAGUUAUAACAGAUAUAAAGUUAUAACAAUAGAAAUUAAGUAAUCACAUAUUUUGCACCACAAUGUGCAUUCUUCUCUCUUGUAAAUGCAAUUACAAUGAAAACCCACAUGCUGAUUCGAAGCAUACAACCUGUUUUGAGACUAAAUGCCCUGUUAUUUUAAAUGGAAGAUAUACAACCGCAUAACAUAUUGUUUAUUUAUCCAUGCUAAAGAUAUUGAGUCAAACGAUGAAGUAAUGUCUACUGGAAUAAAAAUCGUUGACGUGUGUUAUUUUUUAAACACUUUUUAACAGAAUAGUUUUUUUCUCACUCAUGUUGAAGGUAGAAUAUGUACGAUUUUUUUUACAUUAAAACAUGCAAAA